CAGUAAUUCAAUUAAGAGGUGAUGACAGCGGGAGGUGGAGGGACUUAUACACAACAUUUUUUUCUUUCAGAUUUAUUACCAGCAUUUUAAUUCAGAGGUAAAAAGUGACAUGCUUGUCAAGUAUGCAAUGCAUACUCAAAAUGUAAUCUCUGAAUUUAACCCAUCACAGUAAGUAGUGAACAAACACACAUAGACACACACACACAAACACACACACACUUACACACUUACCCGGAGCAGUGGGCAGCUACCCCAGCACCCAGGGAGCAAUUAAGCCAAGGUGCCUUGUUUAAGAUCACCACAACUCACCAGCCAAGGGACUCGAACUGGCAACUCUCGGGUUUAAAGCCCGACUCUCACCACUAGGCUACAACUGCCCUAGGUGAAGGACAAAUGGGAGGUGGAGGGACCUCUCAGAUUUAUUACCAGCAUUUUAAUUCAGAGGUGGAUGACAGUGGGAGGAGGAGGGACAUAUACACAAUUUUUUUUCUUUUAGAUUUAUUGUCAGCAUUUGAAUUCAGUUGCCUUGCUCAAGGGCACCACAGUCACAACUCAUUGACCGUAAGACUCAAACCGGCAACUCUCGGGUAAAAAGCCCAAAACUCUCUAACCACUGGGCUACAACUGUCCCAGCUGAAGGACAAUGGGAAAUUUUAGGUAAAGACUUGUUUGUCUAUUAUUUCUUGCGUAAUUAUUAUAAAUAUUUGAACGUUUUAAUUGAAACAUUUAAAGGAAAAGUAGAAAAGUUGAUGAACAAUGAACUUUUGUUCAUACAG